UUUUUGUAGGCCCAUCAGAGUGAUUUUCUGAGUUCUUUCACAUGCUGUAUGGUCAGCGAAUGGAUGGAUUAUCCAGUCAAGGUACAGAAUGAAAGACUUGCCUGAGUUAGAAGAAGCUGAGCGACUCUUCAGAGUGAAGAUGUUAUGUGCCUGCUUUCGAACCACACCCGUGGAGAUAUCUGCCAACAAAUGGACAAUCAUUCAUGGGGCUACAGAUGGGGCUGCAUUCAAGAAUUUUCAAUAUGCAGUUAUGUCAAAGCACUCGUUUCGGCUGGCCAGAUUGGAACAGACCUGAAUGGGAAGAUGGCAGAGCUAAGACUGACAAUGUCCAGGAAAAAUGUUAACUAAAAAUGAGUUUUUCCUCAGCGAGUGAGUUUGGGAAUGUUUUAAAUGUCCCUAAAAGUUUGAAAAUGUAAUACUGAGGGAAAAAAGGGAGUGCUUUGAAAAGGCUUUAAAAAGAAAAUAAAGUCUGAAGUUGAUGGUAAAUGAAUUUAAAGUUUUUACUUGAAAAGUUUGUACUUGUUUGUACUUGUCAA